CUGUGCCAUCGAAAGUGAAAAGGCACCUCCAUUGUUAAGUGGCAGGAAACCAGAUGAUUCAGGAAAUCCAGUCCCUUUAUUGUGUGAAGGACUUCCCACCGUGGCAAGGUUUUACACUCCGAGGGCAAAAACUGUAAAAAUAAAACCCACUCAUUUAUCGCCUCCAUGUUUCUUGUUAUUUUUACUCACAAUUGAAUUCCACUGAAAAAUGCACCAAAGAGACCAAUCAUUCCCAG